UACGGAGGAUGCGAGCGUUAUCCGGAUUUACUGGGUUUAAAGGGUGAGUAGGCGGGUUAGUAAGUCAGUGGUGAAAGUCUGUCGCUUAACGAUAGGAUUGCCAUUGAUACUGCUAGUCUUGAGUUCAGUUGAGGUAGGCGGAAUGUGCAGUGUAGCGGUGAAAUGCUUAGAUAUUGCACAGAACACCAAUUGCGAAGGCAGCUUACUAAACUGAUACUGACGCUGAGUCACGAAAGCGUGGGGAUCAAACAGG
rnacentral:rRNA from 1 species